rnacentral:rRNA from 1 species
CCGAAUGCCAAUUAAUUUAACUUGGGAGUCAGAACAUGGGUGAUAAGGUCCGUGUUCGAAAGGGAAACAGCCCAGACCACCAGCUAAGGUCCCAAAAUAUAUGUUAAGUGGAAAAGGAUGUGGCGUUGCCCAGACAACUAGGAUGUUGGCUUAGAAGCAGCCAUCAUUUAAAGAGUGCGUAAUAGCUCACUAGUCGAGUGACACUGCGCCGAAAAUGUACCGGGGCUAAACAUAUUACCGAAGCUGUGGAUUGUCCUUUGGACAAUGGUAGGAGAGCGUUCUAAGGGCGUUGAAGCAUGAUCGUAAGGACAUGUGGAGCGCUUAGAAGUGAGAAUGCCGGUGUGAGUAGCGAAAGACGGGUGAGAAUCCCGUCCACCGAUUGACUAAGGUUUCCAGAGGAAGGCUCGUCCGCUCUGGGUUAGUCGGGUCCUAAGCUGAGGCCGACAGGCGUAGGCGAUGGAUAACAGGUUGAUAUUCCUGUACCACCUAUAAUCGUUUUAAUCGAUGGGGGGACGCAGUAGGAUAGGCGAAGCGUGCGAUUGGAUUGCACGUCUAAGCAGUAAGGCUGAGUAUUAGGCAAAUCCGGUACUCGUUAAGGCUGAGCUGUGAUGGGGAGAAGACAUUGUGUCUUCGAGUCGUUGAUUUCACACUGCCGAGAAAAGCCUCUAGAUAGAAAAUAGGUGCCCGUACCGCAAACCGACACAGGUAGUCAAGAUGAGAAUUCUAAGGUGAGCGAGCGAACUCUCGUUAAGGAACUCGGCAAAAUGACCCCGUAACUUCGGGAGAAGGGGUGCUCUUUAGGGUUAACGCCCAGAAGAGCCGCAGUGAAUAGGCCCAAGCGACUGUUUAUCAAAAACACAGGUCUCUGCUAAACCGUAAGGUGAUGUAUAGGGGCUGACGCCUGCCCGGUGCUGGAAGGUUAAGAGGAGUGGUUAGCUUCUGCGAAGCUACGAAUCGAAGCCCCAGUAAACGGCGGCCGUAACUAUAACGGUCCUAAGGUAGCGAAAUUCCUUGUCGGGUAAGUUCCGACCCGCACGAAAGGCGUAACGAUUUG